GAUGAACGCUGGCGGCGUGCCUAAUACAUGCAAGUCGAGCGAACAGACGAGGAGCUUGCUCCUCUGACGUUAGCGGCGGACGGGUGAGUAACACGUGGAUAACCUACCUAUAAGACUGGGAUAACUUCGGGAAACCGGAGCUAAUACCGGAUAAUAUAUUGAACCGCAUGGUUCAAUAGUGAAAGACGGUUUUGCUGUCACUUAUAGAUGGAUCCGCGCCGCAUUAGCUAGUUGGUAAGGUAACGGCUUACCAAGGCAACGAUGCGUAGCCGACCUGAGAGGGUGAUCGGCCACACUGGAACUGAGACACGGUCCAGACUCCUACGGGAGGCAGCAGUAGGGAAUCUUCCGCAAUGGGCGAAAGCCUGACGGAGCAACGCCGCGUGAGUGAUGAAGGUCUUCGGAUCGUAAAACUCUGUUAUUAGGGAAAAACAAAUGUGUAAGUAACUAUGCACGUCUUGACGGUACCUAAUCAGAAAACCACGGCUAACUACGUG
rnacentral:rRNA from 1 species